rnacentral:rRNA from 1 species
UACGGCGAAACUGCGAAUGGCUCAUUAAAUCAGUUAUCGUUUAUUUGAUAGUACCUUACUACUUGGAUACCUGUGGUAAUUCUAGAGCUAAUACAUGCGCAAAAGCCCGACUUACGAAGGGCUGUAUUUAUUAGAUAAAAAACCAAUGCCCUUUUGGGCUCUUUGGUGAUUCAUGAUAACUUAACGGAUCGCAUGGCCUUGAGCCGGCGAUGGUUCAUUCAAAUUUCUGCCCUAUCAACUUUCGAUUGGUGAGUAGUGUUCACCAAUGGUGUCGACGGGUAACGAAGAAUUAGGGUUCGAUCUCGGAGAGGACGCCUGAGAAACGGCGUACACAUCCAAGGAAGGCAGCAGGCGCGCAAAUUACCCAAUCCCGAUACGGGGAGGUAGUGACAAUAAAUACUGAUGCAGGGCUCUUUUGGGUCUUGCAAUUGGAAUGAGUACAAUUUAAACCCCUUAACGAGGAACAAUUGGAGGGCAAGUCUGGUGCCAGCAGCCGCGGUAAUUCCAGCUCCAAUAGCGUAUAUUAAAUUUGUUGCAGUUAAAAAGCUCGUAGUUGAAAUUUGGGCCUGGCUGGCUGGUCCGCCUCACCGCGUGUACUGGUCCGGCCGGGCCUUUCCUUCUGGGGAAGCCCAUGGCCUUCAUUGGCUGUGUGGGGAAACCAGGACUUUUACUUUGAAAAAAUUAGAGUGUUCAAAGCAGGCCUUUGCUCGAAUACAUUAGCAUGGAAUAAUGGAAUAGGACGGCUUUCCUAUUUUGUUGGUUUCUAGGAGAGCCGUAAUGAUUAAUAGGGAUAGUCGGGGGCAUCAGUAUUCAAUUGUCAGAGGUGAAAUUCUUGGAUUUAUUGAAGACUAACUACUGCGAAAGCAUUUGCCAAGGAUGUUUUCAUUAAUCAGUGAACGAAAGUUAGGGGAUCGAAGACGAUCAGAUACCGUCGUAGUCUUAACCAUAAACUAUGCCGACUAGGAAUCGGUGGAUGUUAUUAUUUUGACUCCAUCGGCGCCUUACGAGAAAUC